rnacentral:rRNA from 1 species
UACGUAGGGCGCAAGCGUUGUUCGGAAUUACUGGGCGUAAAGGGCUCGUAGGCGGCCAACUAAGUCAGACGUGAAAUCCCUCGGCUUAACCGGGGAACUGCAUCUGAUACUGGAUGGCUCGAGAUUGGGAGAGGGAUGCGGAAUUCCAGGUGUAGCGGUGAAAUGCGUAGAUAUCUGGAGGAACACCGGUGGCGAAGGCGGCAUCCUGGACCAACACUGACGCUGAGGAGCGAAAGCCAGGGGAGCAAACGGG